ensembl:lncRNA
CAGGUCUGAGUCUAGCCCGCCCAGGCCUCGCUCCUCCCCGCCCAGCCCGAUGCGGGCACAACUCUGGAGGAGAAACGCGCUUCAGUAGGCUCGGGAAAGCGCGGCUCGCUAUAGCCUAAACCGCAGGGAGUUCUGGGACCAUCUGUCUCCCGCCCCACUGGUUUGGCCCAGCUCCGGUGCCUGCCUGGUUCCUGGCCCGGAGGUCACAACUCAUCCCCUCCCUGGAACCUCCCCCGCUGUUCCUCAUCAUUUCUGGAGCUGUCUUCGAGGACUGGGACCCAGCCCCGAGCCUCGGGCUUCUGAACGGUUUCUUUCCCAGUGCCCAGUAUGGUGAUGUAGCCACCCAUCGGUGAAGCGCCUCAAGAGGCAAAGAACCACGAGGAGG